CACACCGCCCGUCACACCAUGGGAGUCGUUUGCUCCAGAAGUGCCUACGCUAACCGCCCCGCAAGGGACGGAGGCAGGGCCCCAAGGAGUGAACGGUAACUGGGGUG
rnacentral:rRNA from 1 species